CCCUCGAGAGUCCAGAGCACGUACGUCUCCCCCUGCCCCUUCCGUGAGGAUUUUUUAUCCCCAAACACCCAAUCGCCGGUGAAAAAAACCAAAAAAAACCACAAGCCCUCCUCCCUCAAUCCCUAGCGCACCGCCGCUCGUCUCCCGUUCUCCACCAGCAGCGCCGCCGCACCCCAAUCCCCAACUCUUUCUUUCUUUCUCUCGCGCAUGGGGUUCCUAGAUCGGGUGUCGCCACCGCCCAAUUCUGACUCUUCCCCUCUGAUCAGGAUUUUUCUCAAUCGAGUCGCCGCCACGGAUGCACAUCUACCUGUGGAGGACUUCUCCGCAACAAUGGCGAGCGACCGUGGAGGCAAUGCAUGACCAAUCUGCGGCAGGAGGAAUGACCAGGCAUGGGCGAAGGCCGGCCCCGUGCUACUCCAUCGAUGGCUACUCGGAUCUGAGCUCGUCAAGGGACACGGCCCUGCCAAGGGGGAAGCCACAGCAGCCGUGGCGGCAACAGCUAUGUUGCUACGUACGUCGAGGAGGAGGAGCACUGGGACUCUGCAGGCAGCCCGUGGUUCUCAAGCCAGGUGGCGUGGCGGAACAAUGGGUGGGUAUGCAUCUCAGUACUCACAUACUGGUCCAGUCCGGGGAACAAUGCGAUUCCUAAGGCUCGUAAGGCAGCCAAGCCAGUCGGAACACUGCUCCACUCAUGUCUCUGCUGGAGGCAAAGUCAAAUCUUCUGCUGAAGUGGUUAGUUUCCUGUGCUAAUUGAUAAACUAUUCUCAUUUCGGUUACUCCCUGCUUCAUUAUCCGACAUAUCAAAUGAGCGAAUAGCAGUAAUUACAGUCCUCCAGUGCAUAUGAAAGCUCUGGUAUUAUUCCUAAGAUACACAAUCAUUCGUCUUUGCUUGUAACAUGAAGAUCAAUAUGCCCGUGAUAGAUAAUCUUUGCACUUGGGCUAGGCAUUGAAAUUUUCAACAUAUAGAUAUUGCAGCAAUUAUUUUUCUCAUUGAACAAACCUCCUCUAUAUGUUGCUGUUAAGAUACACAAGCUGUUUACUGGUAUCUUCUUUUGGACGACAUGCUUGUGCAUUUAGUUCACUUGGAUAAUAAUCUAGCCAAUAUUUAUUACUCUAAAAAAACUUUGUAGAAACCCAAUUUUGCUUACCGUUAUGAUAUGGAUAUUUACUUCCCUUUGGAAAAUGCAAGAAUAAUUCGAUUCCUCAACCGCAUCAUAAUUGUAUCUGUUGUUUGUCCAAUCGAUGAUGCAUCUAACCUAGGACCCAGAGUUUCUUCCCGCAAUUGUUUCUUUUUACUGCAUCAUCUAUCGCCGUAAGUUGCAAGGGUCAUUUGUUUUCCUUCUUUCUAAAAUACAAGUGAAGUUGUGAUACCGCUCUUACACAAUAGAGUACUCCCUCCGUCCGAAAAUACUUGUCAUUGAUGACAAGUAAUUCCGGACGGAGGGAGUAGAUUUUACUAAUUAUGAAUCGAAUGAGUCAUGUGCAGGAUGGUUUAUCUGGUGUGCCCAGUGCACCACCAUUAAAGGAUGCGGGUUAUCUCAAGUUGCAUGCGAUUCCACCAAGUCAAUCCCCUUACUCAUUUAUCUCUACUACCUAAAUUCAUAACUUCACAUGUAUUUUAGAAAGAAGGCAAGCAAAUUUUGUAUGUGCAUCGGCAUAUUGCUGCAUCGUCCAUGAGUUCGACAACUAAAAUUGGGAAUUUGAUUCAUCAAAUUUAUAUACUGGCCAAAUAGUUUGUCAAAGCUUUCAAAACGUAUACUUACAUCAUAUUUUCUUGCAUGAUGCAGGUUCUAGAACAGACCCAGCAACGCAUGGGCGUAAAGGUUUCCAACUAUUUUGCUAAAGAUACUACUUGAUUCAGCUCUUUUGGACAUGAAGUAGUUGAACUGGGAAUUCGAUCUGGUUCAUGCAACUAUUUUUCUCGAGUGCAGUACGUUCCAAUGGCUUAUCCAGACGACCCAGAAGGGUUAAGAUCUACUUAUGUUGCAGUACCUGACAGAAACUAAUUAUGGGGCCUCCCUAUUUAUGUCGCAAGCCGGUCUACUUUAUGGUCACUCCGAUCUCCAGUUUUUUAACUCAGUUUUCAUUUAAAAUUAAUUGAUUCGAUGGAUUUUGGUCACGGUUAUGCACAUACCAGUGCUCGCUGCUUCUAGUCUAUUAUGAUUUAUGUGGCAUGCAUCUCACUUCAGGCAAGGCAUCUGUGAAAGACACCAACAGGGUAGAAUACUUGAAUGUGGAGCACACAGGAUGCAUUAAGGCUAGUCGUUCAAACAAAUUCCACCAAGAAUUUUCAUGAAACCUUGAGAGAUUAAUCCCUCUUUGGUAAGUUACUUACAUGUGUCAAACAAAACAAUAUUACUCUUAAUUAGUUGAGGGGCAAAGUUAUGGUCUCUCUGAUUGUGAAGAUGAUAGCCCAAAACCGAGAUACAUAGAUCUCCACUGGUCUCUCUGCAAUCCAUUUUCUUCCUUUUCUAUAGUCAUGUUGGUUACCAGUUUGAUGCCCGCGAUUUUAAUAAACUUGUAUAUGUAGAUUGUGGUAUAGUUCUAGGUAAAAAUUGAACUGAUAUUCUAUACCAGUCGAAAGGGAUUUCCAAUGAGACUCCAGGUAUCUAGCUAUGUUUUAUUUUAAAUUCGUGAUAAUACUAGAAUGAUUUCCGGGCCAUGACAAAUUGACGUGUGUGAAUACCAUUGAACUUGUAUGCUGAAAUAUUUACUUUAGUAAGAGUCGAAAAACAUGUGCAAUUGAGGAUUUAGUGUUUUAAUGACGGCUGUAUUUCAAUGUAGAUAUUAUCUUCAGUUCGUACUUGGCCAUAAUGGGAUACCAGGAAAUAUGCUUCUCAUCAGUCGGAAUAGUUAUUGUCGACAUGAUAAUAUUAGGUGUUGUGCAUAUUGCCAGUUUCUAUUGUUUCUAAGAGCUGAAAGAAGCCAGCCAUUCUAAAAUGUCUAACUGCACUUCUAGCAAAGAGGCAACACUUGAUAGUGUGCCGAUAUCUGUAGGUAAGAUUGUAGGAUGUGUUCUCGCUUUUUUACCUUGUCGGGCUUUACGUUUUUGCUCUACAUUUGUUAAUUUAGCAAUCUGUUCUAUAGCAUUCUACUUAUUUUUUAUUCAUUGGAAAAUUUUGAUGGCACCAAAAUAUUUUAUUUGUGAUCCUUUUCUUAACCAAAUUAUCUCGCGACAACUCUGCAGAUCAAAACUUGUGACAUGGCAUCGAAUUG
rnacentral:lncRNA from 1 species